CGCGCAGGCGGCUCGUUAAGUCCAAGGUGAAAUCCCACGGCUCAACUGUGGGGGGACCCUGGAUACUGGCGGGCUGGAGUGCGGGAGAGGGAAGCGGAAUUCCACGUGUAACGGUGAAAUGUAUAGAUAUGUGGAGGAACACCGGUGGCGAAGGCGGCUUCCUGGACCGUAACUGACGCUGAGGCGCGAAAGCUGGGGGGAGCGAACA
rnacentral:rRNA from 1 species